ensembl:lncRNA
UGGAGGAAGGUGACUUCAGUGAGAGGCCUAAGAAUUCAUCAAGGCAAGAAGAAGUGUUUAGGGGGACGAGGCAGGGGCCCCGCAUUGAUCGCCACGACCUACGGAGUGGUCCAGAUAAGUCAGGUGAAGUCCAGGGGCAGGUUGCACACCAAAGACCACAGGACAUCAAUACCUCUGUCUUAGAGGAGACAAGACCAAAGAUGGAUGCACAAGGCAGCAUCGAUCAUGGAGAGGAUGCGGGGCAGAUGAUACCAAGAUGAGAACAAAAACCUAAGGUGAGAUGGCCAGGCGCCACUGACUGUAAGGAGUGGACCUCUAAAAACAAUGACUUGAGAGGGAUUUUAAAUGGCCUGAAGGGUACGGCUGAGUCUAAGAUAAACCAACUGGGUGAGAUUAUAUACGACUAUGGGAAGAAGAGGUUUGAGGUGUUCGAGAAGAAGCGUAAGGGUGAGCAGAGCAUGUUAAGGUCAAGACGGCAGAUGGAAAUUGAGAGGUUGAUUCAGGAAAGAAGAGACUUAAAAAAGCUUUGGAAACGAGCAGAUGAGGAAGGUAGAAGUGGCAUUAAUAUUUUGCAGGAAGAAUUGAAACGUAGAUUGGUAGUGUUGAGGAGAGCGGAAAAGCUUAGAUUGAGGAGGAAGAAGAAGGAGCAAGCUAUGGUGGCAAUUUUUAAGGACCCAUUGAAAUUUGUGAAGUCCUUGCUUGAGCAAGAGAAGUCUGGUUGUUUAAAUGUUCAAAGGAGGGAGUUGGAGAGCUGUCUGCUGGAAAUGCACACCGAUGGUGAAAGUGAGAGGGUUUUUAAAGUCUUAACCGCUUGCCUCAUACAGGGUUGCAGGGAGCGUCGGCACGGUGCUUCUUGGGGAGAGGUGAAAGAAUCCAGGCUGGUGAGAGCUCCUGUGAUGAGCGCUCUGUGGGUUGCAGCUCCCGUGGAGCCAAGACAACACAGCCUUCUGCUUUUUGCUACACAGCGCUGUGGUGAAGCAAACACCACGUUUGAAUACAAGCAUGCUCAUAAGUGUAUUUGGUACCAGAGCUCCUUGGGCCAAAGGCCAACGAUCAACUUUGUAGUCGUUUCAUCUGGCUUGAGGAAAACAUGUUCUGGAAAACUUGGGUGAAGAGAGGUGCUGAGCUGUCAACCCAUCACCGUCUGGUGGUGAGCUGGAUCAGACGGCAGGGAAAACUGACAGACAGAUCCGGUAGGCCCAAGCGCAUAGUGAGGGCGUGCUGGGAACAAGCGUCAGAGGACCCUGUCCGGAAUGAUUUUAACUCCCACCUUCGUGAGAACUCCUCCCAUGUCCCGGAGGAGGUAGGAGACAUGGAGUCUGAAUGAAAAUUUGAUUUUAAAAGCUUUGCUAUGCCUACAUGCUUCUGUAAUAGAACGUUUAAGAAUGUUUAACUGCUCAAUAGCCUAUGCAAGAAAGCGGCACAUUCCAGGCUAUAGUUUGCUCUCUGUAUGUCCCCUUUUGUGCCAGCCUGUUCCCAUGAGAUAUCAGAGAAAUGUGGCUUACGCAGACUCACGUAAAGCCCAGAGGAUGUGUGUAACUGUUUCACGUAAGAAAGGAGAUCAACUGGUGACAGUGGACGUGUGUGAUGAGAGAUUGAGGGGCACAGUGACACGCCUGGAAUGUUCAAAAAAUAACAUGUAUUCUGCCUAUGCUUACAAAAAUCUGCCCUAGAAUAUGUAUAAAUAUCUGCUUGCCUGGCUGCUCUGGUGUG